rnacentral:rRNA from 1 species
CAGCCGCCGCGGGAAUACGGAGGGGGCUAGCGUUGUUCGGAAUUACUGGGCGUAAAGCGUACGUAGGCGGCUUUGUAAGUUAGAGGUGAAAGCCUGGAGCUCAACUCCAGAAUUGCCUUUAAGACUGCAUCGCUUGAACGUCGGAGAGGUGAGUGGAAUUCCGAGUGUAGAGGUGAAAUUCGUAGAUAUUCGGAAGAACACCAGUGGCGAAGGCGGCUCACUGGACGACUGUUGACGCUGAGGUACGAAAGCGUGGGGAGCAAACAGGAUUAGAUACCCCUGUAGUCCCUGUCUCUUAUAC